UCUUCCCUCACACUCCUCAUCACACUCAUCCUCACACUCUUCCCUCACACUCCCCAUCACCCUCAUCCCUCACACUCUUCCUCACACUCUUCCCUCAUACUCCUCUCCUCCACACUCACCCUUCCUUACACUCAGCCUCUAGCAGGUGUCCACAGACUCUGCCUCAGCCAAAUUACUCAGACAUGGAAAACAGGGUUUGUUUCUUUUUUGGCACGUUUGAGUGAUGAAGCAGAGUCCAUUUAAAGAGAAUAUAGACAUUAUGGCAUGGUUAUUUUUUUUUCUAAUAUGUUCUUCUUCAAAAGAGUCCCGUGAAGCAGCUGGCCCAAGUCCUUGCGGGUAGAUUUGCUGAUGGGUACAUUAAAGAGCCUCACCUCACACGUGUGUGCAUCACGUGUAAACGACACAGCUAUAGAGGAGGAAUGCGGCCCUAGUGGAGGAUGCUGUGCUGUGAGCACUGCCUGCACACGUUGAUAUCCCUCCUUCAGGGACUGCUGGGCAUCUGGGUUACAAAGCACCUGCCUAGUGGCAGAUCCUUCUGACUGGAUGUUUGUUUUCCCACAUGGCCGAAGUCAUACACACAUUGUGAGUACAAGAAACUGAGGAAGAGACCAGGGAAGGAGAUGAAAAGCAGCCAAGGAGAUGGCCAGGAUGGAGCAGCACCCCAGCAUGCACUAGGAAGAGCGGGUACCCCAGCAUGCAGUAGGAAGAGCAGGUACCCCAGCAUGUACUAGGAAGAGCGGGUACCCCAGCAUGCACUAGGAAGAGCGGGUACCCCAGCAUGCACUAGGAAGAGCGGGUACCCCAGCAUGCACUAGCAUUGUCAGAUCAUGUCUCCUGCAUUGUGGACGAAUAAACACUUUGAAACAAGCAUCAGCCUGAGGCAUACAGUUCCUCACACUUGUCUCACUCCCCACUACCCCCAAGGGCCACACCACAUUAUUCUCCACCAUUCUGGUAGCUAAAAGUCCAAAACUGAGGUGUCUUCAGAUCUGUGCUGCCAUGGGAGAUUCUAAGGGACCAUCUAUCCUCACUUCAGCCUAUGGUGGCUGUGAUGGUUUGAAUGAGAAUGGCCCCAUAGUUUCAUGUAUUUGAAUACUUGGGCCCCAGUUAGUGGAACUGUUUGGGAAGGAUGAGAAGGUGUGGUCUUGUUGAAGAAGGCCUGUCACUUGGGGUAAGCUUGAGGUUUC